rnacentral:misc_RNA from 1 species
CCAAACUUGGUCAUUUAGAGGAAGUAAAAGUCGUAACAAGGUCUCCGUUGGUGAACCAGCGGAGGGAUCAUUACUGAGUGUAAAAACUCCCAAACCCUUUGUGAACAUACCUCUGUUGCCUCGGUGGGGUGAUCCCGCCAUCGGGAAGACCUACCCGGUACCUACCCUGUAGUUCUUGCCCGGUGGUAGAUUCCCCGCCAGAGGACCACUAAAAACUCUGAUAAUUAUUGGCACUUCUGAGUAACUGUAUCCAAAUAAGUUAAAACUUUCAACAACGGAUCUCUUGGUUCUGGCAUCGAUGAAGAACGCAGC